rnacentral:tRNA from 1 species
GGAGAAGUGUCCGAGCGGUUUAAGGUGACGAUCUCGAAAGUCGUUGUGGGAGCGAUUCCACCCGGGGUUCGAAUCCCCGCUUCUCCG